rnacentral:lncRNA from 1 species
CGGAAUAACUUGAUUCAGCAGAAGAACAUGGCCAUGCUGGCCCAGCAAAUGCAGUUAGCCAACGCCAUGAUGCCCGGUGCCCCACUGCAGCCCGUGAACUUAAUGCAACAAUCAUUCCAAAAAAGAGGGGGGGAUUGCAUUUCGAGGUGGGAGGGAUCCCCAUAUUACACCGGCAGUGAUACCAAUUAUCAAUACUGUACAGUCGAGCCAAUGUUUUCAGUUGCACCAAGCUUAGCCACCAAUGCAUCAGCAGCCUUUAAUCCCUACCUGGGGCCUGUUUCCCCAAGCCUGGUUCCAGCAGAGAUCUUGCCGACUGCACCAAUGUUGGUCACGGGGAAUCCUGGAGUUCCGGUGCCAGCAGCUGCUGCAGCUGCUGCACA